GACGAACGCUGGCGGCGUGCUUAACACAUGCAAGUCGAACGGAAAGGCCCCCAUGUUGGUGGGGGUGCUCGAGUGGCGAACGGGUGAGUAACACGUGGGUGAUCUGCCCUGUACUUCGGGUUAAGCUUGGGAAACUGGGUCUAAUACCGGAUAGGACUAAGUUUUAGUGUCUCUUGGUGGAAAGAUUAUUGUUUUUGUGCAGGAUGGGCUCGCGGCCUAUCAGCUUGUUGGUGGGGUAAUGGCCUACCAAGGGGUCGACGGGUAGCCGGCCUGAGAGGGUGUACGGGGACAUUGGGACUGAGCUGCGACCCUGGGUCCGAGGGACGGCAGCAGUGGGGAAUAGUGGACAAUGGGCGGAAGCCUGAUGCAGCGACGCAGCGUAGAUGAUGACAUGCUUCGGGUUGUAAGAACCUUUCGUGGGGGAAGAGGCCACUUUUAUUGGGUGUGGUGACGGUACCUGUGUUAAUAAGCCCCGGCUAACUACGUG
rnacentral:rRNA from 1 species